UACGUAGGGUGCGAGCGUUGUCCGGAAUUAUUGGGCGUAAAGAGCUCGUAGGCGGUUUGUCGCGUCGGCUGUGAAAACUGGAGGCUUAACCUUCAGCGUGCAGUGGGUACGGGCAGACUAGAGUGUGGUAGGGGAGACUGGAAUUCCUGGUGUAGCGGUGGAAUGCGCAGAUAUCAGGAGGAACACCGAUGGCGAAGGCAGGUCUCUGGGCCAUUACUGACACUGAGAAGCGAAAGCAUGGGGAGCGAACAGG
rnacentral:rRNA from 1 species